rnacentral:lncRNA from 1 species
AGAUUUUCUUUCUGUAUCAUUGUCAUCAAGCAAGAGAGGCUGUACCUGCAGCACAGCCCUAAUUACCCAGCGACUGGUACUCACCUCCUUCAGAGUACAGCACACAAGUUCCUGCCUGCGACAGUUCUCAGCCUUGGUUUUGAAACAAUCAGGAUGCUAAAAAAUUCUCAAAGCAAUUCAUUUUUAUUUUUUAAAAAACACCCCAAAAUAAAAAACCACUGACUCAUCCAUGCCAAACUGCACUUUCCAGAGGAAGCAUGUCAGCAGACUCAAACGGACAAUGGACAGAAUCCCAUGACACCAAAGUCAUUCAAACCUGAUGCUUCAGAGGCUGACAUUCUGAGCUGAAAUAGCCACAGGUCACCACUUGGCCUGAUGUGGGACUCUCCUUUCUUUUUAGUCUAUUCAUGUGGUGGCAGAAGAUGUGAGACUCUAGUCUCCAGUCAGGGAGGCUUCUCCUGUUAUAGAAAAAUAUUAGAGUCUAGGCUUGACUUAGCGAUGGGUGGGCUAUAUUAAGAAUCAUACCCUGCUUCUUCAAAGUCUAGACGAUGCAUUUGUAGUUCUGGCUUCUCUCAGGGGUUGUGGAUCUCAGGGACCAGAGAGAGCUUUUAGUCCUUUUAUGGAUGGGUUCACUGUGACUCUAAAAUCUUUUCUCAUUGAAAUUAGCCAGCAUAAUUUGACAGACACUCAGAAAAACACCCUAAUCAUAUUAGGCUGAAGGCCAGGUCUGGAAGUAAAUUCUUUAAAAGUUUGGGCUUCAGGAAGGAUAGGUUGAAGGUGAAAAUGGAGUAUGUUAAAAUGGGGAUAUUAAAAAUAUAUUUAAAACUAGGAGGCUAAUCCCUGGCAGAAGAGAACUCUUCUUUGAUUUGCCAAUCCCUGGCCUUUUCUUACUCCUUAUUUGUACUGACUCCAGGUUUUCCAUAGCAUGAAUGCCUGCCGCUGCUCUACGCAUAGUAAGUUAUAGCGUUCUACAGAUUGGUCAUCUAGACCGAAGACACGGAGGAAAACAUGUUCUGGCAAUUCUACCUGGCUCAAGGUAAGACAUCAGAGAUUGUGUGGGUCAACUUAAAAGAAGAGGCGAGCAUGCUCCUGGUUCAUGGAAGGAAAUGAGCUUCCAUCAUCUGCACAUGAUCAGCGGGCAUCAAAAUCUGUUAAUUCAGAACAAUAUGAAGACACACUCCCAUUUGAAGCUUACUUUCUAAUCUAAGGAGAAAUCAUGAUAGCACAUGAUGAAAGAGUACAUCAAUAACUCUGAGGGUAGAUGGUAGGAUAGAAUACUAGAAGAUGAGCAGGUAUUAGGUGGAUUAGCCAAUUUUCCAUAUUGAAAGAAAAAAUGAGGCUGGGCACGGUCGCUCACACCUAUAAUCCCAGCACUUUGAGAGGGUAAGGCACAUGGAUCACUUGAGCCCAGGAGUUCAAGACCAGCCCGAGCAACAUGGUGAAACCCCCUCUCUACAGAUAUACAAAAAAUUAGCCAGGCAUGGUAGCACGUGACUGUAGUCCCAGUUACUCUGGAGGUUGAGAUGGGAGAAUCACCUGAGCCUGGGAGGUUGAGGCUGCAGACAACACUGCGCCACUUCACUCCAGCCUGGACGACAGAGCGAGACUCUGUCUCAAAAAGAAAAAAUAAAGAAAAAGAAAAAAUGACUUGGGGAAUGAAAUAAAAAUUCUAACCCAACUCUCACCGUGUCAGAAACAACUUGGAAAUUAAAAUUUGUCAAUUUAGAACUCAGUAAGUCACCUAACCUAACCAGUUUGACUGAAAUGACUAGAAGAAAAAUGGCUAAAGAACAAUCCAGUAACUGAGGAAGAGACAGUCUGAAUUUCUGUACUAACUCUGAUCCAAUUCAGUCACUCAUUGCUAUGGCUGGGCAGGGAUCCAAGUGAAACUUUUAACAGUGGCCAAUAAGGUGGCAUAGAGUUACUGCCUCUAAAAACCACAACUUGUCCCUAAGCUUGAAACCCAACCAUAAACUUCCUCAAAUCCAUGUGGACGAGCACCAUGUUUUUAAGCAGCCCACUCUCCUCAAACUUGAAUUGGCCUGCAGAAGACAGGUAUGCCAACUUCAAUGACUCUGCUCUGCAUCACUCUCUCGGUUGCCAAAUUGAGGCAGAAACAUCCAUUUGCCUUCCUGUAGCUUUCUAAAAUCUGUCUACAGUGUAAUGAGUUGUCUAUACACUUUCCCUUAGCCCAGUUUCAGUAACCUUGUAGUCCAUUCGAUACACAGAAAUAGAGCACGCACCAACCUCAGCCACAGGCCCCUUUCUCUCCCAAGUUCAGGCACAGUACUGGCUAGAACUCUCACUAAAAACACAAACACCAAAACACAGUGUACAUCAGAUGCAUAUGGGGUAGUAAUGCUUUUAACAGUUUGCUUACAGGAGCAGUUCUUCAACACUGAUAACAACUGGCAAAACAACCUCAACAUAUGCUCUGCCUAGAUAAUGCAGGAGAUCCUUAAAUUUCUCCAAGUUAGAAAAUUCAGGACAACAGCAAUAUGGUGUUAGAGACUUCAGAUCUGUGUCAAUCAGAUAUAGCCUUGCUGCCACCUAAAGAUGUGCUCGCCACCCCACACAUGGCUUUAGCAGCAGUUCCAAAGGCCAAUGCAUUCACUCUUGGAAGACAGUGUCAGCUGUCUUGACACUGCUGCUGGCUACAUUUAACCAACUCUAUGAUGUGGUACCAGAGCCCAAGAAAUACAUCAAGCCAGAUCAUUCUGUCCAAACAUCCCAAGGAAACAUGUGCCUUGGACAGCACCUGAGUGGGAACAGGCUGCUAAUGUUGAUAUAAAAUGCAAAAUAGUAAAAGUAGCAUUUUCUCUAAUUUACUAUUCAGUGAGAAACCCAUGCAGAAAUCCAAUGCAGCAAAUUGUAGAGGUUCAAUGCUCCCUGAUCUGCAGUUAAGCCAGGUGUGCCACCUCCUUCAUCUGACUUGGAUCCUGCUCUGGACUUCAAGGAAACAUCUACCUGGCUAGCAGUUCAAGGACUCGAUAUAAAAAUAACUCAUGCUUUGUUUCAACUGGAGGGUCAUGACACUGUUGGGCCUACAGGAAAACCAUUCAUAAGUCAAUGUAAGCUCAUAUCUACUGAAAGAGUAGAUUUGAGUUUUUUGAGUAGAUAUGAGCUUUUACACCCUAAGUUACAAUGAAAAGAUUCACUGAAGAAGGAUUCAAUCAUGCUGUACUACUUCCUGGAGUUGGCAGAGAAAUCAUCCAUUUCUUGGUAGUUGAAAGAAGGCUGAUCCAAGAACACAGUGAAGAGAUGUUCCCAUUUCUCAAGGUGUUUCAUCUUCCUGGCCAUGAUGAUUUAGCACCUGCAAAAUUCCCAAACCUACGCAAUGUGGUUAAUGCGGGGAAGCAGACAUUGGACUACCAACUUCCAAAGAGUCACUAUCUCGACUAGCAGAUCAUGAGGUAGAUGAGGCAGUUUCAAGACCUCCCUUGAAGAAGGCAGUGAUGAAUAAAGAAGAGGAGGAUGGGUUAUGAGCAGCAUUUAGUGUGACAUCUGAAGAGAUCAAGAUGCCACUAUCAGACAAGAAAACCAAUAACCAGACUAAUUUCACACAGCUUCUUCAGGCAAUGGAAUCAAGAGAUAGGAUGCAGACUUAGAAAAAAAGAAAGAAAAUUCAGCAGGAGUUAGAGGGAUCUAAAGGAGUUGUAUAUUUAUUGCCUUCUGUAAACCAGGAGUAAAGGAGAUAAUUAAGGUUUUAAAUAAUCCAGUUUCUUAGUCACCAAAAGUACCAAGACUUCCUCCUAUUAAUGAGGCUGAAGGCUCAGUUUAAGCUGUUCUCUGCCAUCUGGCCCUUGUACUUGGGAGACUAAAGCCACUGUGGACAUUUAAAUGAGAGAGAUUUGCACUCUCUCAUUUUUCACAGCCUAUGCUACAGCAAUCAUGACUACUUUUGGAUAAAACAAAAGUUCCUUAAAUAAUAUACUCAUGGCAUUUUUAUUUUCUUUUCUUGUUCCUACACUGCCCAACAAAAAGAGUCUCUUCCAAUGUCAUUGAGUUUGCACCACAUUCUAGAAUAAUAAAUGGAACUGGAUCAUUCUGAGAACUAUAUUGUAAAAAGCAAAUAUUCUACUUUAAAGAACACACUUUUUUUGGUUUGUUUUUUAGACAGAGUCUCACUCUGUUGCCUAGGCUGGAGUGCAGUGGCAUGAUCUCAGCUCAAGUGAUCCUCCCACCUCAGCCUCCCAAGUAGCUGGGAUUACAGGCAUGUGCCACUAGGCCUGGCUAAUUUUUGUAUUUUUUGUAGAGGCAGGGUUUCACCAUGUUGCCCAGGCUGGUCUUGAACUCCUGGGCUCAAGGAAUCCACCCACCUCAGCCUCCCAAAGUGCUGGGAUUACAGGCAUGAGCCACUAAUACCCAGCCAAGAGCACACAUUUAGGAUAGAACUUGAGCAUACUUUUGUUCUGGAAGAGGACAGAAAUAGAGCAAGGGACAGGAAACAACAAACAAAACCCAGUAGCAGUGAGUUAGCUUCUGUCCCGUCUCCACCCUUGUAAGUAGGACACUGGCUUAACAAUUAGUUUUAUUAUCAGCCCUCACUGUUUAAAUCUUAGCAGAGAAAAAGAAAAGCUGUUGAAGAGAAUAAAAUUAAGAAACAUAAAAAGGGAAAACUUGAUUAUCACCAGUUUCUGGAUUUUUAGUUUUCUUCUUCUAACUGAAGUUCACUCAGAUCUAGGGAAUAGCAUUAAGCUUAACGUGAAAGUGGGGGGAAAAAUGUGGCACAUUGAAGUGGCAGGUAGCUGUAAAGAGAAGAGGGAAGCAUUUUUAAACUGUAGUAAGGUUUAUCCGAGAGUGAUUACUUUUAUAAGGAAGAGAUUCUAUGAAAAUGCAGCAAGGAGGCUGGUCCGUGGAGUACCACAAAGCUGGGGAACUGCAGUUUUCAUGCUGAUUCUCUAUCUUUACCACUCUGGGUCAAUUGUGGCAGAGAAGCUGUUUUAUCUUCCUUGGGCAUGGGAGAGGAAAGGAGGAGGGAUGCAUAUGACUCAGUUUUUAAAUCAGUACCUUACAGGGUUAUUUAGUAAAGUGGUAAGGCUUCUGUAAAAUGCUUUGAGUGACUAGGAAACAAAUCAGAGGCAAAAUAACAACAUAAAAUAAUAACACCAAACAUCAGAGAACUGAAGGGAAGAGGAGCGAGUCACUGAAAACCAGGGACACCAGUUGUCCAGGUCACCAACAGCUUCCUGGUGCUCCCCCACCCCACAGUCUGCUGUGAGCUCUUUCACCUAGAAUGAGCCUAGAGAAUGGCCUAGUGGGGCAAGGGACCUAGCACUGGCUCUCAGCCACAACUAACACCACAUCCCAAAUUACCCCUCCAGAACAGAUGCCGAGGGACACUAGAAGCGAGGAGUAGUUGGGAUACUUUUGCUACACCUUCUAUCUUGAGAGAAAGAGAUUUAAACCAAUAGUAUAAUACAUCAGUUGAAAUACAUCUGACGAUAAUAACAAAGAUGCAUUGACCUAUAAAAAGUCAUUUAAUGCAUAUUCCAGAUGGCCAAUACAAGCUGGUUAGGUAAUUAGCCCUU